rnacentral:sRNA from 17 species
GUAACUCAUCCCCGGUCGAAAGACUGAGGCAUUGACCGCGAGGCUCGUGCCUGAGUUACCCGAAGGCCCCAAUCGGGCAGCCGAUUUGAAGUUGCACACCUACGAAUGCCUCGCCAGUUUGUCGCUCUGUG